rnacentral:rRNA from 1 species
CGCGUAGGAAACUACCCAGUAGUGGGGGACAACAGUUGGAAACGACUGCUAAUACCGCAUACGCUCUACGGAGGAAAGGGGGCGUUCGGCUCUCGCUAUUGGAUGUGCCUGCGUGAGAUUAGCUAGUUGGUGGGGUAAAGGCCUACCAAGGCGACGAUCUCUAGCUGGUCUGAGAGGAUGAUCAGCCACACUGGGACUGAGACACGGCCCAGACUCCUACGGGAGGCAGCAGUGGGGAAUAUUGGUCAAUGGAGGCAACUCUGAACCAGCCAUGCCGCGUGCAGGAUGACUGCCCUAUGG